rnacentral:tRNA from 1 species
UGGCUCAGAUGGUAAAGCGCCUGUCUGCAAUGCAGGAGACCUGGGUUUGAUCCCUG